rnacentral:tRNA from 3 species
GCCCUUAUAGCUCAGUCGUACGAGCGCGCCACUCGUAAUGGUGAGGUCCGCGGUUCAAUCCCGCGUGAGGGCA